rnacentral:lncRNA from 1 species
GCAGGGUUCACCGACGGUUUAUUGCAGCCGCCGCCGCGCUCCGUCCGCGCGUCACAUGUUGGCUCUCUCCCGCUGCAGCCGGGAGUUGUAGGCGCGAGAAACCGCGUUCCAGGCGUCCAUGUAGCGGUCCAUGCACAUGGCGAUGCACUUCUGCUCCGAGUUGUCCAGCGCUCCGCCGGGCUUCCCGAUGCACUUCCGAAAGCAUUUAUCCGUCAUACGCUGCAGCAGCUCCUGCGCGUUGGCCACGGCGAUCUGCACCUUCACCUGCUCCAUGAUGAGCCCCGGGUCCAGCUUGCCCCCCCCGCCGGCCCCGGAGCCGAAAUCGGAACCGAAGUCGGAGCCGAAGCCGCCCUCCAUGGCUCGCAGUCCCGGCGGGGCGGCAGCGCAAUGGCCGCCGACGAACUACGGCUCCCGGCGCGCCCCGCGCGGCCCCGCGCGGAACGACGGCUGCGGCGCGCCCCCGCCCGUCAGACCCGCAGCCGUGCGCGUCCCCGCGGCGGGAGCGCGGCGCAGAGCCGGGCGGGCACCGCGGGGCGGACGCAGCGCGGCGUUCGGUCCGCGCGUCCCCGAGCGCUGCCGUAUCCCUGCGGGGCGGCGCACGGAGCGGUGCUGCACGGCUCAGCUGCGCGCAGCGGGUGCUCUGUGCUCGGAUUUCACGUCCGUUGCUUUGGAAGUUGCUCGGUACGGCCUAACGAGCAAUGGGAGUUUGGCAGAUCGGGGGAAAACAGCUCGAGGUCGGCCAGAAGUCACCGUGCUGGAGCAGAUGAUGGAAAAGUGGGGAUAAAGUAAGUGGGUGUACGACCACCUUAUAUAGAGCCGCAUGGUGCCCAGGGGGAUGUUAGCAUACGUUAAUGAGUACUUGGGAAAGAAUGAGUGUGUGUGUCUGUAGUGCAUAUGCAUGUCUUAAGUGUUUACAGGUAGAACUGUGAGUGCACGGCCGGUUUGUCGCAUCGCCCAUUAUGUGCUGUGAGGAGCAAAGGAUUGCUGCAUUGGAAUGCCACAUUGGGGUUAAAGCGUUUCCUUCCCGGAUUUUGGCUGAUGCCACACCUCACACAGCUCCCAUCAGCUCGCACUGAAGAUGUGGUGGGUGCCCAGGGUGCAGGAUGAAAGAGACGGGUUGUGAUAGUGGAAGAUUGCGCUGCUGCUUAUCCCAGGAACAGCGCACUCAGCUCAGGGAGCAGCACAGCACAGCACAGCACAGC